rnacentral:rRNA from 1 species
AACCAAGAAAUUUAGUCAUUCUUUGACGGUAAAAAGACAGUUAAGCAAAUACGAUAAUUAUAUGACCUUUAGUAGAGGAGUAAAAUCUAAAUACUAGAAGUUAUACCAGACAUAAUUUAUUUCAAAUGCUGAAUCUGUGACAACUUUAAGGGAAACUGGGAUUGGAUACCCCAUUAUUUUUAGUUAUAAACAUAGUUUAAGCUUACCAGAGUACUACGAAUAAAAAGUUUAAAACUCAAAGGGCUUGGCGGUGUUUUAGACCUCUCAGGGGAACCUGUCUCAUAAUCGACAAUCCGCGUUAGACCUGACCCUUUAUAGCAACUCAGCCUGUAUACCGUCGUCGUCAGGUAACUUCUAAAAAUAUAGCAGUUAGCUCGAUAAUUGUAUUAAUUGGAACGUCAGAUCAAGGUGCAGCUAAUGAAAGGGGGAGGAUGGGUUACAGUUAUAUAUUUAUAAUUACGGAAAAGACUUGAAAUAAAGCAAUUGAAGGAGGACUUGAAAGUAAUCUUGGUUAUAUAAACAACAUGAAUAAGGCUCUGAAACGUGC